CGGGGGCGCGCGUGCUUGUGUGUGUGUGUGUGUGUGUGUGUAUUGAAUAAAGUCGGUAGUUUUACACGCAAUAAACCUCUUCAAAAUUGGUGCAGCGGCGGUCCCCGCCCUGAAAACCGAGUUUGGUGUCGAGCCACUCUAGAAUAUAUGGAUGCGCCGGAGGACCAGUGGAAGGUGUCAUCCAGAUGACAGCCUCACAAUUCGCAGCCUUUGUGCUCUCCAUCAGAAACCCAUCAGGGGCAAGCCACUUAUGUUUGCCUUCAGACAAGACAACAUUGAAGCAGGAUUCCAGCACAGCCAUCUCCUGCACUUAUGGUCAAGAUGCUCAGACAAUGGAGUCCCUGUUCCUUGUGGAUAACCGUGAACAGUAUUCUCGCUUUUAUGAAAGCUAAAGGUGAUUUCCUGCAUAAAUUAGGAUUUUGCAGCUCAAUUGUAUACACUUUAUUCUAAUUUGAAGCAACUAAUAUAUGCUGUUUAAUACUUUUAUACUGUUUGAUACAAUCAUUUCUUGUUGGAAAAUAUUAAGCAUGAUGUUUAACAUUUAUUUAUGCAUUACUGGCUGAUGCAUGAUGGCCUGUGUUUGAAAAAUGUGAACUCACACAUUUGAAGCUUCAUUCAGUAACCAGAGUAUGGCUGAUUUAAGAAACAUUAUUUGCUCAUUUAUGUACAAGCCCUAAUCUUCCAUUAUCGCACCAAGUACAAAUAAUUUAGAAAUUGGCAAUGUAUCAUCCGCAUGUGGCCAGUAGAGUACCUUAAUGAACAGUGGUUUGUUUUUAUAAGGCCGCCAUUGAUACGGCACUUCGCACCUAAACAGUAAUAAAUCUGGCAUAUUUAGGCUGUCUUGCAGUAGAAAAAAAACAUUUUCAAGCAACAUAUUUUAUAACAGACCAUGCAUUGCCUUCGCAUUACAAAAUUUAAGGAAACCAGAAUUGUAAUCGGAAAAUCUGCUACACAGCAUUUUUAGCUUAGAGAACUCUAUUUACAUUUGAAAAAAAAUGACUUAGGUGGGAAAAAAAAUUUUCUUGCUCAAGGAAUCUUGUUGAGGAGCGAAAAUUCAUCUUGAUGCUCCUGGAUCAAACCUUAUUUAAA